rnacentral:lncRNA from 1 species
UUUAAUGCUACUUCACACUUUUAAUCUAAAAAGCUUAAACUCAAAACAGAGCGUUAAACAUCAAAUCUACUAGUAAAAUCCAAGUACUUAAUAAUUUAAAGGUACAACUCGCAUCAGGAAUAAAGUCCAAUAUAAUCAACUAACCACACAUGUUAAAUAACUCAAGAAAUCAUUUGGACAACUUCAUUUAUAAUUUGAUUUAUAAUAAAAUUUAUAAAAAUGAAGUGCAACAUCGAAUAAGAACAUGUGUGAUGAACUAAACGAAAGUAGAAGUAGGAGUGCCAUCAGCGAAAACUCGAACCAAAGACCAAACUCCGAACUCCAAUCCACCAAUCUUCCAAAUUGCUUACUGUUUUCUGUUGAUCUCUUUUUUUUUCUUUUUUCUAAGUGUUGUUUUUUCAUGUGUUGCUCUCAAUCUUUUUCUAUUCUCUCUUGAGUGUUUUUGUCGUGUUCUCUUAAGUUACUACUGCUUUCUAACUUUCUGCUUCUAUCCGUUUUCUCUCUUUCUCUCUUUGUUCUUUAAUAUCCUUUGGUUGUAUGUCCCCUUUUUUCUCAGUUUUUAUUUUUCACUCUCCAUCCAUUUUUUCCUUUUCUUUUCUGUGUUUUUCCUAUUCCGCGUGGCUUGUUCUCGUUUUUAUAUAAGUCAUGUGGGAGUUAUGUAGUAGUAUUGUUG